GGUCAAACGUUUGUUAUAUUUUUUAGUAUCUGGCAACCCAUAUUAGAUCAGGUUAAAGAGGUGGAUCCCUUACUCAUCAUAAAGGACUAAUGUUUCCUUUGUAUUUGUAACUCAUGGUUCUAUUUUACAAUUUUCUUUUACAACUGCAACAGG